rnacentral:misc_RNA from 1 species
GAUGAAGAACGUAGCGAAAUGCGAUAAGUAAUGUGAAUUGCAGAAUUCAGUGAAUCAUCGAAUCUUUGAACGCACAUUGCGCCCGCCAGCAUUCUGGCGGGCAUGCCUGUUCAAGCGUCAUUUCAACCCUCGAGCCCCCCCGGGGGCCUCGGUGUUGGGGGACGGCACACCAGCCGCCCCCGAAAUGCAGUGGCGACCCCACCGCAGCCUCCCCUGCGUAGUAGCACACACCUCGCACCGGAGCGCGGAGGCGGUCACGCCGUAAAACGCCCAACUUUCUUAGAGUUGACCUCGGAUCAGGUAGGAAUACCCGCUGAACUUAAGCAUAUCAAUAAGCGGAGGA